UACAGGGGGUGCAAACGUUGCGUCGGAAUCAUUGGGCGUAAAGCGCACGUAGGCGGUCUGUUAUGUCGGAUGUGAAGCCCUUGGCUUAACUGAGGAAGUGCAUCCGAAACUGGCAGGCUAGAGUACUAAGAGGGCGCGGAAUUCCGGUGUAGAGGUGAAAUUCGUAGAUAUCGGGAGGAACACCGGUGGCGAAGGCGGCGAGCCUGGGUAGAUACGUGA
rnacentral:rRNA from 1 species